GGCAAAAUCCUUGUAGAAAUAAUUUGUGAUGUUAUUACAGAAGAAUCUAAUAAACUAGUUAUUUCCUCAGAUACUUUAAGUUUUCUUACAGGAAGUGAGGACUUAAUUGCAAUCAUCUUAACAAAGUAUUUCUUAGCUAACAUGAGUCGUCUCAAGAAUAAAGGAGGAAUAUAAGUUUCAACUUCCAUUGAGUUUAUAGGGGUGGAUUUCAUCGCACCGGUUAUAAUGCGCAGUGCUUGAUUUUGAAUGAUAUCUAACUUUUUUAGAAGACUAGCGCUAGCAUUAAUAUAUGCUAAGCAACUAUAGUCAAAGUGGCUCCUAACUAAACUUUUAUACAACAUUGAGAGAAUUUUUGGAUCAGCACCCCAAAAAACUCCUGCUAAACAUCUCAAUAUAUUGAGUCGCUUAAUGGGCAAAACACACUGAGUUUUCCACUCGCCGGGAAUAACUUGUUUGGACCAUAAGUGAUUGUAGAUAUUAAGAAGAACUGCUUGUGCAUUUUUGUGUGGACUGUAAAUGCAAAGGAUUGUAAUGGAACCUAUACCUGUUUCUAUGGUUAUGGCAAUA